rnacentral:sRNA from 13 species
UUUUGAAGCGAGUUAUGCGUCUUUGAAGUUGGAGGCGAAACGCAGACAGCGAGACAGUCUCUCAGUCUGCGUCUCUCACUCUCUCACCUCCAACUUUGAAGACGCAUAACUCCCCUCAAAA